rnacentral:rRNA from 1 species
AUUGAACGCUGGCGGCAGGCCUAACACAUGCAAGUCGAGCGCGCGGCGGACGGGUGAGUAUUGUGUGUGGACUGCCCGAUAGAGGGGGGUAACUACUGGAAACGGUAUCUAAUACAGCAUACUAUCUGGUAACCCAUAUGGGAGUAGCUCGUAGGUGAGGUAAUGGCUCACCUAGGCGACGAUCCCUAGCUGGUCUGAGAGGAUGAUCAGCCACACUGGGACUGAGACACGGUCCAGACGCCUACGGAGGCAGCAGUGGGGAAUAUUGCACAAUGGGCGCAAGCCUGAUGCAGCCAUGCCGCGUGUAUGAAGAAGGCCCUAGGGUUGUAAAGUACUUUCAGUCGGGAGGCGUUACCGACAGAAGAAGCACCGGCUAACUCCGUGCCAGCAGCCGCGGUAAUUC